AGAGUUUGAUCCUGGCUCAGGAUGAACGCUAGCGGCAUGCUUAACACGUGCAAGUCGAAGGGUACCAGGGAAGAGCUUGCUCUUCUGCUGACGACUGGCGCACGGGUGAGUAACACGUAUGCAACCUGCCCUCCACAGGGGGACAACCUUCCGAAAAGGAGGCUAAUCCCGCGUAAAUCAUCGCGGAGGCAUCUCCGGGUGAGGAAAGACACGUCGGUGGAAGAUGGGCAUGCGGCACAUUACCUUGUCUGCGGGGUAACGGCCCACCGAGGCUACGAUGCGUAGGGGUUCUGAGAGGAAGGUCCCCCACACUGGUACUGAGACACGGACCAGACUCCUACGGGAGGCACCAGUGAGGAAUAUUGGUCAAUGGGCGGGAGCCUGAACCAACCAAGCCGCGUGAAGGAACAACGCGCUAAACGUCGUAUACUUCUUUUGCCGGGGAACAAAACCCGUCACACAUGGCGGUCCGAUUGUACCCAGAGAAAAACCAUCGGCUAACUCCGUGCCACCAUCCGCGGUAAUACGGAGGAUGCGACCGUAAUCCGGAUUUAUUGGGUUUAAAGGGUGCGUACGCGGUCUGUUAAGUCAGCGGUAAAAGCCCGGGGCCUCAACUCCGGCGAUCCGCUGAAACUGGCGGACUAGAGAAGGCGAGAAGUACCCGUAAUGCUCAGUGUAACGGUGAAAUGCAUAGAUAUUGCGCAGAACUCCGAUUGCGAAGCCAGCGUACCGGCGCCUGACUGACGCUGAGGCACGAAAGCGUGGGUAUCGAACAGGCUUAGAUACUCUGUUAGUCCACGCAGUAAACGAUGAAUGCCGGCUGUUCGGGUCAACUGUGACCUGAGUGGCGAAGCGAACGCGAUAAGCAUUCCAUGUGGGGAGUACUCCGGCGACGGUGACACUCAAAGGAAUUGACGGGGGCCCGCACAAGCGGAGGCACAUGUGGUAUAAUUCGAUGAUACGCGAGGCACCUUACCUGGGCUCAUACGGGAGCGGAAUGGCGGAGAGACCCGUCAGUCUACGGACCGCUUCCGAGGUGCUGCAUGGUUGUCGUCAGCUCGUGCCGUGAGGAGUCGGCUUAAGUGCCAUAACGAGCGCAACCCCUGCCGACUGUUGCUAACGAGUCAUGUCGAGGACUCAGUCGGGACUGCCGGCGCAAGCCGCGAGGAAGGCGGGGAUGACGUCAAAUCAGCACGGCCCUUACGUCCGGGGCGACACACGUGUUACAAUGGGCGGCACAGAGGGAAGCCAGGUGGCGACACCGCGCGGAACCCGAAAACCGUUUUCAGUUCGGAAAAGUGUUUGCCGCCUGAAUCAGUGAAGCUGGAUUUGGUAGUAAUUGCGCAUCAGCCAUGGCGCGGUGAAUAAUUUCCCGGGGCGCUUGUACACACCGCCCGU
rnacentral:rRNA from 1 species